rnacentral:tRNA from 1 species
UUAAAUGUAUUUUAUAUUAUUAAAAAAUUAUUUUUCCAAAAUAAAAAAAUUUUUUCAUUUUAA